AACGAACGCUGGCGGCAUGCUUAACACAUGCAAGUCGAACGAAACGUUCGGGCUUAGUGGCGAACGGGUGCGUAAAGGGUGGGGACCUGCCCUUAGGAUCGGAAUAACUCCCCGAAAUGGGUGCUAAUAACUGAUAAUGUCUUCGGACCAGAGCUUUAUCGCCUUUGGAUGGGCCCGCGUUGGAUUCGCUAGUUGGUAGGGUAAUAGCCUACCAAGGCGACGGUCCAUUGCUGGUCUGGGAGGAUGACCAGCCACACUGGGGCUGAGACACGGCCCAGUCUCCGACGGAGGGCAGCAGAGGGGAAUAUUAGGCGAGGGGGGAAAGUCUGAUCCAGCAGCGCGGCGGAAGUGAUGAAGGGCUUAGGGAUGUAAAGUUCUUUUACCCGGGAUGAUAAUGACGGUACCGGGAGAAUAAGCUCCGGCUAACUCCGUG
rnacentral:rRNA from 1 species